GAACAGAAACUCCCAUCAGAUCACCUUCAACACCAACAUGUUCUCUGUAGCUCUGCUUCUUUUGCUGGCUGCUGCAUCCAAUGUGAAAUGUGAACAACUGACACAACCAGCUGCAAUGACUGUGCAGCCGGGUCAACGUCUGACCAUCAGAUGUCAGGUUUCUUAUGAUCUGAGCUACUGGACAGCUUUUAUCAGACAGGCUGCUGGGAAAGGACUGGAGUGGAUUGGGAUGAAUGAUAGCGAUGGAAAUUUACGCUUAAAAGAUUCACUGAAGAACAAGUUCAGUAUCGAUGUAGACACCAGCAGCAACACAGUGACUCUAAAUGGACAGAAUAUGCAGCCUGAAGACUCUGCUGUGUAUUACUGUGCCAGAGCUCCACAGUGACACAAACCAGCACCAGAGCCGUACAAAAACCCCUCUCAGCCUAAACUGAUGCUUUACUAGUAAACAACCAGAGGGGGCGUCUUAAGAUCACUACAGAAUUUAACAAUUUUCUAAAAGAACGCCUUGCAGUUUUCACUAUUCAUCUAUACACUGACAAUAUUAACAUUACAGUCAGUUAG